AGCCACAAUCUCGUUAGAGGCCUCUCUCAGCAUUGUUAGCCUACGGUAAAACAAAAACAACACACUUUUGGUAGGCAGGCAUGCUCCAUGAACACGCAGCCUGGGCAUGCUAAGUUGUUAUCUGGGAAACGAACAGACUGACAUAUAAUGAGCCAAGCCAUUUCUUUGGCUGGGGUUUUUAACUAAAUGUCUCAUAAAAAAUAAAAUCCUCACUUCACCCUCUAGUAACCUGUAGCAAAAUCACCAUAAUGUGGUAUUAAAAAGUUAAACUCAUGAAAUUUAACCUAAUUUCUAGAUAUUAAAAUAGACAUAUUCUGAAAAUUACAUAUAGAGUUUAAUGUUUGUUAGCAUUUAAAAAUAUUGACACUCACUAUAAAAUAACUUGGUAUUCGUUGUUCAUUUAUUGUACAAUUAAUCAUAUAAUAGAAUGGAGUUACUCUCAGCUAAGAGUGAAUAAAUAAGUAAGGAUUUUAAAUACUCAUUUUAUUGUGUGCGCUCACGGUCUAGCAGGGAGAAUCCUAUGUUAAGGAAGUUUUUCUUCUAAACUAGCAGAAGACUCAUUUUUAACAAAAGCCCUGGCACGGGCUGAAGUGGCAUUUUAAGUGGUGUAAGUGGUGCUCCAGAAGAUAAAUACCGCUUAUAUGGAAUAUAUAAAGCAGGAGUACUAGGAUGGUUUAGAACAUCUCAUACUCUGUUGAGUUUCAUGUUCUCCGAACGCAAACAUUCUUUCCAUUGAUAACUAAAUGUUCAGCUUUAAUUUGUCUGGUGACAUAACGACAAACUGGCACAGACUAGUUAAUAAAUGUCUAGCCAUGAAGUGAACAUAAGGGGAACCAUUAAUGACUACUAUGAGUUAUAAAUUUCUUUGUUUACAUAGUAAGUGUACUGUUUGGAAAUAUGUGUGAAACAAAUUGUAUUUUACAUAUAUGAGAAUUACUAUUUAAAGAUACUAUAAUGAACCUUAUAAUCACUCUUAUAUUUUCAUAUGUAUUUGUUUUGCAGUGCUGUGACUUUUAUUCACUAUGAAGGACUUUUGAUAAAGACAAAGUAUAUCUAUAUCUUUUUACAUCACAGUAGAAAGCUAUUCCUUCCAAAUGUCCAUGACUGCGUUAUUUAUGAUAUACUUUGUCACUCUUAAGUUUCUAAAAAGUUUUCUAUAUACACACAUACAAAUGCAUGCUAUAUAUGUAUACGCACGUGUUAACAGUAGUUCAA